rnacentral:lncRNA from 13 species
AUGACAACAAAAAAGUUUGCCACAUUGAUGGACUUACCAUUCACAUACUGUUUCUCUGCAGCAUUCAACGCUUUUUCUUGGUAUUUCCCACAACAGAACUUCUGUCAAAUAGCAACACUCCUCUCAACUCCUUCAGCUGCCUAUCAGGUAAACCUAAGACCUGCACAUUCUAUCACAGACUACCUUCUGAGCGGUGGAGUGAAAAACAAGAUGAACGUUCAAACACAGCAAGUCUGCUAUGCCACUGUGAGAGCCUCCUCACAUGCCAAGGCACAAGCCGGAGGGCACCGAUAA